ACUCCCAAACCCAAUGUGAACGUUACCAAUCUGUUGCCUCGGCGGGAUUCUCUGCCCCGGGCGCGUCGCAGCCCCGGAUCCCAUGGCGCCCGCCGGAGGACCAACUCAAACUCUUUUUUUCUCUCCGUCGCGGCCUACGUCGCGGCUCUGUUUUAUUUUUGCUCUGAGCCUUUCUCGGCGACCCUAGCGGGCGUCUCGAAAAUGAAUCAAAACUUUCAACAACGGAUCUCUUGGUUCUGGCAUCGAUGAAGAACGCAGCGAAAUGCGAUAAGUAAUGUGAAUUGCAGAAUUCAGUGAAUCAUCGAAUCUUUGAACGCACAUUGCGCCCGCCAGUAUUCUGGCGGGCAUGCCUGUCCGAGCGUCAUUUCAACCCUCGAACCCCUCCGGGGGGUCGGCGUUGGGGAUCGGCCCCUCACCGGGCCGCCCCCGAAAUACAGUGGCGGUCUCGCCGCAGCCUCUCCUGCGCAGUAGUUUGCACACUCGCACCGGGAGCGCGGCGCGGCCACAGCCGUAAAACACCCCAAACUCUGAAAUGUUGACCUCGGAUCAGGUAGGAAUACCCGCUGAACUUAAGCAUAUCAAUAAGCGGAGGA
rnacentral:rRNA from 1 species